GACGAACGCUGGCGGCGUGCUUAACACAUGCAAGUCGUACGGUAAGGCCCUUUCGGGGGUACACGAGUGGCGAACGGGUGAGUAACACGUGAGUAACCUGCCCACAAUUUUGGGAUAACGCUAGGAAACUGGUGCUAAUACUGGAUAUGUGCUCCUGCUGCAUGGUGGGGGUUGGAAAGCUCCGGCGGUUGUGGAUGGACUCGCGGCCUAACGGCUUGUUGGUGGGGUAGUCGGCUACCAAGGCGGCGACGGGUAGCCGGCCUGAGGGGGUGACCGGCCACAUUGGGACUGAGGGACGGAACAGGCGCCUACGGGAGGCAACAGUGGGGAAUAUUGCACAAUGAGCGCAAGCCUGAUGAAGAAGCGCCGCGUGCGGGAAGACGGCCUUCGGGUUGUAAACCGCUUUCAGCAGGGACGAAGCUUUUUGUGACGGUACCUGAAGAAGAAGCACCGGCUAACUACGUG
rnacentral:rRNA from 1 species